AGCAGCGGCUCAGGGGCGGAAGCACUGAGCUCAUCCUUGUUGAGCAGCACAGAACACGAAGAAGAAGAAGAAGAAGGAAAGAAGAAGAAGAAGAAGAAGAAGAACCCUCAUUAGUCUCAGGUGAGAGCGUUGUCGACGCCUCCAGCUCUUUGUGGAGCCUUAACGUGUGGACUUCUACGUGGAAUGUGAGUUAUGGGAUGUUAAGUAACGCAUGCACGUUUUUUAGUGCGUCGUUAUUCUCCAUGACCAGUAAAAUUUAGAAUUAAAUUCUCCAACACGAUUCAUGCAAAGGAUUCACUCUCCAAUAAAGCGUGAAGCCAAAACGCUGGUUAGUUGGUUCAUGCUGCUGAACAUUUGUUCUCCACACACUCACAGGCUAAACUUUGGAGUAAGACCAGAACCGAGCUUUGGCCUCUGACGUGUCCCUCGAGCACACGAACCCCUUGGUUUUGAAGGGUUCGGCUGGUUGCUCGCUGGGUGUCACGGUCCCUGAGAUGUGAUUUUGACGCAUCCAGCAGAUGUGACUGAGCCUAUAGUUGCUCCCAUCGCCACCAAACAACAAAACCACUGCUUUCUUUGCUGCAGCGUCACUCCUCAGUUUGGAGGUUGAUGGACAUAACCACACAUUUAAAUAGAAUAUUCACUACUUAUGUGUAUUCAUCCCUUAACUGAUAACUGCAGCAUCCAUUUAAAGGUGUGCUUUAUAUUUUUUAUAUUUAAAAAAAACAUUGUCCACUUUCCUUUGGGAGCUUAAUUCUCAGUACGUCCUGGCUUUUGCAUAGUAACAGGGUUUAAGGUUGCACUAACAUCCCUCUAUGCUUCGUUCUAGGGUUUGUUGGUUGUCGUCUUCUGCUCAGGCCCGCGUUUCUCCACCUCCUCCGUCUAAAGGCAAGAACACCUGGGGGCGCUGGGGAGCAUCUGCCGGAGCCGAGCCGAGGACGAGAGGCUGCUGCUACAACCUGCCUGCCGGCCUGUGUCAGCCUCUGCCGGUAAACAGCGCACCGCUUCAGAUGCCACCGCGUUCCUGCCCCGAGCAACAGCGAGUGCCCAGUUGUGUGUCGGCGCCUGUGGUGGUGGCUGGAAAACGAGGCGGUGAGGAAAUCACGCAUGGACAGCGUGUGCGCGUGUGUGUUUAUUUAGAGGCCAAGGACCUUUUGGAGGACGGGGGCAUCGAGAGCUUCCCCAGCAGCUGGAUCCUGUCUGUAGCACUUUGCAGAAGUAUUCUCCACUCGUGACCUUUGGCACAUUUUGUUGUGCAAUCAGGCUGUUUCAAAAUGCACUUUUUCAGGACUUUUGUUCAAAACAAGGUUGAAACAAAGAAGAAAACAUCCCAACGCUGCUACAUAAUGUCCUGCCACAUUGGAAAGCAGUACAUUAGUUAUAAUAUGUAUUUUUAUUGAGAUAUUUGACAUGUGUUGGUGUCUUUCAGCUUUAAUACAGGUCAUUAAAAAGUUACCAGUUAAUUCAAUCAGUGAUUUAUCCAAAUGUUUUGCUAUCUGAAUGUUUGAGGCUGAACACAAGCAGUCCAUAAAAACAAACCUGGAGUGUAUUUACAAUUGACCGAAAAUAAUCACUUGUCCACGGCUGCCCAGGGUUGUUGGUUCAACUCCCAGUUGCUCCUUGCUACGUGUUGAGGUGUCCUUGAACACGGCACGUUUAGCACGGCUGACUUUCAAACAAAUGCAAAGACAGCUGUUCAGAUACCACGUGUUCCAAACGACAUCAAACACACGCUGUUGUUGUUGUAGUUGUUUCCAAUGUCGAAAUUUACAGUUUUGACCGAAGUCAGUCUGGACAAAAACGUGGACGUGAACCUUUUUAUUGGUGGCAUCACAUAAACUACUGAUCAACCUGACCUUGUCUGCUGCAAGACAGAGAUGUGCUCUGUUAGUAUAACUCUGCCAAACGUCACAGUCUGAGGCCUUGAUGAGAGAGAGAGAGACACACACACACACACACACACACACACACACACACACACACACACACACACACACACACACACACACACACACACACACACACACACACACACACACCACCAUGACUUACAGCCCAGUUCCUUUUAUUCCCUCCACUGUAGGAAAGCUGUUAUUAUGAAGACCUUCAAUCCUUUUCUUCUUUGUCCUCUCGCUGAGACUCGCAGCAGCUCUGUAACUCACACUGAUGUCAAAACAAACACACAGAUAAACAGCCGAAAGCAAACACACACGUACACAAAAUCAACAAAGACAU
rnacentral:lncRNA from 1 species